rnacentral:lncRNA from 1 species
AGCAUUAUUCUCUUGGAUUCACCUUUGCAAAGAAUUGAACAAAAUAGAAGCCAAAGAAGUAGACAGAAAAUAAAUCAAUCCACUCUGCUCAAAGAGCACACAGUCUAAUGAAGAUGAUGAACAUGAAGUCAACUUCGUAGUGUUGAGAGCACUGUUUCUCCAGAGCAGCACUUCUCAUCAGGGGCUGCACGUUAGACUUACCUGGGGAGUAUACAUAAGUUCAGAUGCCCAGGCUGUACUUCAGAAUCUCUGGAGCUCUAUGCAACUCAUUUUCAUCUAGCAUUACCUCUCCAAAACCUGAAUCUCCACAAGAAAGCCACACAGCAAUUAACCAGUGUUGCAAGAACUGCUUCUGUAAUAAAGGUGGGAAGACAAAUUGAUGCAACCCUCUUGAAAAGCAAUCUGGCAAUAUGAACCAAGAGCCAUGAAAAGGCUUAUGCUAUUAUAAUUAAAUGGCUGUAAUGUUGGCUGUAAAUAUGAAAUUUUCUUUCACACACCAAUGUUUUCAAGAAUGGCAUAUUCACAUGCAGUAUGUGAUGAAAGAAGCAGUAAAGGAUGCUAACAAAGCUAUUUCUUUGGACAAUCUGAACCUGAUGAGAAAAUUGAAGCCAACAGAAGUUAACUAACUUGCCUAAAAUAACACAGCUGUGGCAAAUUAGGACCAGAACCAAGGUCUCCUGACCUAAGUGCUACUCCCACCAUACUACAUGAUCUGCUGUUUAAAAUUUUGGUGAGCUUUAUAACAUAAAUAAAACUACAGAUGUGAA